rnacentral:rRNA from 1 species
UGGGGAAUAUUGCACAAUGGGCGCAAGCCUGAUGCAGCCAUGCCGCGUGUGUGAAGAAGGUCUUCGGGUUGUAAAGCACUUUCAGCGGGGAGGAAGGCGAUAAGGUUAAUAACCUUGUCGAUUGACGUUACCCGCAGAAGAAGCACCGGCUAACUCCGUGCCAGCAGCCGCGGUAAUACGGAGGGUGCAAGCGUUAAUCGGAAUUACUGGGCGUAAAGCGCACGCAGGCGGUCUGUCAAGUCGGAUGUGAAAUUCCCGGGCUCAACCUGGGAACUGCAUUCGAAACUGGCAGGCUAGAGUCUUGUAGAGGGGGGUAGAAUUACAGGUGUAGCGGUGAAAUGCGUAGAGAUCUGGAGGAAUACCGGUGGCGAAGGCGGCCCCCUGGACAAAAACUGACGCUCAGGUGCGAAAGCGUAGGGAGCAAACAGG